GCCCUAGUAACGGCGAGUGAAGCGGCAACAGCUCAAAUUUGAAAUCUGGCCCUCGGGUCCGAGUUGUAAUUUGUAGAGGAUGCUUUUGGCGCGGUGCCUUCCGAGUUCCCUGGAACGGGACGCCUUAGAGGGUGAGAGCCCCGUACGGUUGGACACCAAGCCUCUGUAAAGCUCCUUCGACGAGUCGAGUAGUUUGGGAAUGCUGCUCUAAAUGGGAGGUAAAUUUCUUCUAAAGCUAAAUAUUGGCCAGAGACCGAUAGCGCACAAGUAGAGUGAUCGAAAGAUGAAAAGCACUUUGAAAAGAGGGUUAAAUAGCACGUGAAAUUGUUGAAAGGGAAGCGUUUGCGACCAGACCUUUUCCCAGCGGAUCAUCCGGUGUUCUCACCGGUGCACUUCGCUGGGUUUAGGCCAGCAUCGGUUUCCGUAGGGGGAUAAAAGCCCUGGGAACGUAGCUCCCUCGGGAGUGUUAUAGCCCUCUGCAUAAUACCCUUACGGGGACCGAGGACCGCGCUUCGGCAAGGAUGCUGGCGUAAUGGUCGUCAACGAC
rnacentral:rRNA from 2 species